rnacentral:rRNA from 1 species
CAGUCGAACGGCAGCAGGCCAUGUAGCAAUAUAUGGUGCUGGCGAGUGGCGAACUGGUGAGUAACACGUAAGAAUCUACCCUGAGGUGGGGGAUAACUCAUGGAAACAUGAGCUAAUACCGCAUAAUGCGAAGCUUAUAGCGAUAUAAGUUUUGUUAAAGGAGAAAUCCGCCACAGGAUGAGCUUGCGUCCCAUUAGCUAGUUGGCGGGGUAAAUGCCCACCAAGGCUAUGAUGGGUAGCUGGCCUGAGAGGGUGGUCAGCCACACUGGGACUGAGAUACGGCCCAGACUCCUACGGGAGGCAGCAGCUAAGAAUCUUCCUCAAUGGGGGAAACCCUGAAGGAGCGACACUGCGUGCAGGAUGAAGGCCCUUUGGGUUGUAAACUGCUUUUGCAGGGGAGAAAUAACCGAAUGGGAUGAUAGUACUCUGCGAAUAAGUCCCGGCUAACUACGUGCCUGCAGCCGCGGUAAUACGUAAGGGGCGAACGUUGCUCGGAAUCACUGGGCGUAAAGGGCCGGUAGGUGGCUUUAUAAGUCGGUUGUCAAAUACCUAUGCUCAACGUAGGAGAGGCGACCGAUACUGUAGAGCUUGAGUAGAGGAUGGGAUGAUGGAAUACCCGGUGUAGGGGUGAAAUCUGUUGAUAUCGGGUAGAACACCGAUGGCGAAAGCGAUCAUCUAGCCUCAUACUG